rnacentral:rRNA from 1 species
AUAUCAAUAAGCGGAGGAAAAGAAACUAACAAGGAUUCCCCUAGUAACUGCGAGUGAAGCGGGAAGAGCUCAAAUUUAAAAUCUGGCGGUCUUUGGCCGUCCGAGUUGUAAUCUAGAGAAGCGUUUUCUGUGCUGGACCGUGUACAAGUUUCUUGGAACAGAACAUCAUAGAGGGUGAGAAUCCCGUCUUUGACACGGACUACCAGUGCUAUGUGAUGCGCUCUCAAAGAGUCGCGUUGUUUGGGAAUGCAGCGCAAAAUGGGUGGUAAAUUCCAUCUAAAGCUAAAUAUUGGCGAGAGACCGAUAGCGAACAAGUACCGUGAGGGAAAGAUGAAAAGCACUUUGGAAAGAGAGUUAAACAGUACGUGAAAUUGUUGAAAGGGAAACGCUUGAAGUCAGUCGCGUCUGACGGAACUCAGCCUUGCUUUUGCUUGGUGCAUUUUCUGUUUGACGGGCCAACAUCGAUUUUGGCCGCUGGAUAAAGUGCAGGGGAAUGUGGCACCUUCUGGUGUGUUAUAGCCUUUGUUCACAUACAGCGGCUGGGA